rnacentral:rRNA from 1 species
GGCGGCGUGCCUAACACAUGCAAGUCGAACGAAGACAUACCGACGGAAUCCUUCGGGAGGAAGAUGGUAUGGACUGAGUGGCGGACGGGUGAGUAACGCGUGGGUAACCUGCCCUGUACAGGGGGACAACAGUUAGAAAUGACUGCUAAUACCGCAUAAGCGCACAGUACCGCAUGGUACAGUGCGAAAAACUCCGGUGGUACAGGAUGGGCCCGCGUCUGAUUAGUUAGUUGGCGGGGUAACGGCCCACCAAGACGACGAUCAGUAGCCGGCUUGAGAGAGUGAACGGCCACAUUGGGAGUGAGACACGGCCCAAACUCCUACGGGAGGCAGCAGUGGGGAAUAUUGCACAAUGGGGGAAACCCUGAUGCAGCAACGCCGCGUGAGUGAAGAAGUAUUUCGGUAUGUAAAGCUCUAUCAGCAGGGAAGAAAAUGACGGUACCUGACUAAGAAGCCCCGGCUAACUACGUGCCAGCAGCCGCGGUAAUACGUAGGGGGCAAGCGUUAUCCGGAUUUACUGGGUGUAAAGGGAGCGCAGGCGGUGCGGCAAGUCAGAUGUGAAAACCCGGGGCUCAACCCCGGGACUGCAUUUGAAACUGUCGGACUAGAGU